rnacentral:lncRNA from 1 species
CACACACAAGUUAGGCAUAAGUAAAUAAGUCUCCAUAAGUGAGCCUAACAGAAAUCAAACUUAUCAAGAACUUCACCUGCAACAACAUAGGGAAUAAAACCCUGAGUAUGGAAUUACUCAGCAAGACUGACCCGACUAAACAAAAGACUCUCAAGGGUAUGCUAGUUGAUUUGGAAAUCAAGGUAAAGGCUAUCAAUGUUCAAAGACUCAAGUUUUGCAUAAAAGCUUACUAAUACUUGGUCCUUAGGCCAUCUUUUACUUUUCAAGUUAAGUUCUUACCUUUAUCUAGAUUGGCCUAUUCUAGCUCAGUCACUUGGCCUAAUCUAGUUUUCUUUUAAAAUCAAAUCUUGUUUUACUUGUUAUCUACGAUGAUGGUCAGUGAUCUAGUCUCCAUAUCCGAGAAGUAAUGGCGAUUCGAAUCGAUUAGUACCCAGCUGAGGAUCUCCAACCACACGACAUAUGUAGCACUUAACCCUUGCAUAUGUCAACUCGCACCCGGGUUUCUCAAGACCAGAACGGGUCCCCGCCACCUGAGAGCUCAGUACCCCACCGUCCAACCUCUUGCCAGGUGGGUACACGAUACUCUCGCCAUCUCUCCACUCCUAGUGCGGGCCGGCCUUUCUGGUAUUGGUCCAGCCGAAGCUAAGCUUACCCAUGAUGAGGCAUGUGGCCAGUUAAAAGGUCCUAGAUCAUGUAGGCCAAUAAUCGUUACGGUCCUUAAACGACAUAGACGGACGACCUUUCCUGCUCAACGUCUGGUCUCAUUUUAAACUAUUUCUCAGAAACUUGUACUUGUCAGAGGUAAUCCGCUGGAAUGAUGAAUUCAUCAAGGCCUUUGACGCCUUCAUCAUUCCCAGCCUUUUUCUUUUGUAAAAACAUGAUUCAUAAAUCAAAAACAUUUUGUUCCUAAUCUAUAAGCAUACUAAGCAUUUCUAGCUUUGAAAAACAGGUAUCAAGGAUGAUAAUCAAUAUUCCAAGGAAUGGGAAUGCAUCAAAUGUUUAUUCACACAACUCCUACCACCUAAUGCAGCAUAUAAGUGAUAAAAGUUUUUAAAACACAAGGAAAGGGUUAAAUGCACCGGGGCUUGCCUUGAUGAGGAGGAGUGUCAGGCUCUUCCACAAGAAUAUCACAAUUAACCGGGUAACCUACUAGAGUACCUUCAGGAGGAACUGCAGCUGGAGAAGUUUCUGAUUGAGGAACUGAUUCCUCUCCCACUUCCACUUCAACCUCUUCUUCUAGGUGUUCUACAAGUCAAUUACAAGUACAUGAAUGCUUAUGUAAUGAUAUGCAAUGUAAACUCUCACAAGGGAGAGGUGGGAAAACAUAAACACUUGUAAAACAACCACAUGACCAGUUUAUACAUGUUGCUACAUAACUAAACAUUUGAUAAAGGGACCAAACUGAAUUUGUUUGUACAAACCCGAGAAACAAUUAUUCUAAAGUCUCCUAAACUUGCUACUCAUUAAUUUAUAUAAUUAAGUCUCCUUCUAAACAUAUAUUAGAAAUUGAUUUCAUGGAUUUAAAUAACUCUAUUUAGCUAUUCAAAGGUUUUCUGGUCAAACUAGCUCCAAAUAAGCUCAAACUUUUACCAAGAGCUAAUAUAGUGCUAAAUAGUUUUUCCACAAAUUUUCAUCAUUUUGGUGCUCUAGUUUUAAUUCUAAAAUUCAUUAAAGCCUUCUAAGGACACUUUUAAAUGACCUAUAAUUUAUUCUUUAUUUCAAAAAUAUUAAAAAUGAUUCUAACAGAGACUAUACAAUUUUUCGGACUUUAAAAAAUUAGUUUGGUAUUUUUUGCAUUUUUAUAAAUUUUCUGGUGAAUUUUACAAGCUGCCAGUAAAAAGAAAAAGAAAAGUUAUAUACAGUUCUGGGCCGAAUCGACGAACCUGGCCCACGAGUACAGGGAAAACCAGCCCAGCGCCGGUCACCCGCGCCCGCGCGCGCGGUUUUUCAUUCCGACCCCCGCUCAACUAAACAAUAAACUAAGAGUCUCGCGCACUAUUUCUAACAGUAGCUGACAAUAUCACCCCGACCCCUGGGUUUUGGUGCUUUUACAUUUUCUCAGACCCGAGCCUCCUCCGACGAGCCGCGGCCAACCAUCGCACGGACCCGCCGGCGGCGGCCAUCUCCGGCGAAGUCGAGCCCACCAUCGUGCUUCCCGAAGUUAACACACUACUUCCCCUAAGUUAAUCGGUCUCAAACAACCUAGAACUGCCCUGGCCACGACAACAGCGGAGAAACGAACUCCGACGAGGUCGGCCGAGGUCCCUAAUGCGGUAGCGUUCGAUUCCAGGAUGCUAUGAGCAUCAGUAACAUAUCUAAUACAUGGUGCUCACGUUGGUUUGCGCGGAGAAAGGAUGGCUUGGCCGGUCGACGUGAAGCUCAAUCACGGUGGCGUUCACUAGUGGCGUGGCGGCAUUCCAGGCGAUCUACAGUGGUAGCAUUCAAAACAACGGCUCGGUGAGCAUCACUGACAUACUAGGAUCACAAAACAUCAACUGAUCGAGCGUGCCUUACCACAGGAUGGACUGGCCACGGUGAGAUGGACAGUCGGCUUGCGUGGUCACCACUGUCUGUGUUCACCACACGCUCAUGGUGUUCCAGUGGAAUCCAAGGAUUGGGAUAGGUUGAGGGUGUGAUAUAUGUGUAGUAGAACAGCAGAGCAUGAUGGAACAACUAUGAAGUCGACCAGGGACAGUGGAGUUCAGUUUGUGACUUUAGAAUGGUUAGGGCAAACCAACCAAGGGCUGAGACUUCUAGGGUCUUUACUGGCUUUAACACAUGGCCAACAAGGGCUAGAGUGUUCCCCUCACCUCCAGCAAGGUUACCAGGCAUGGGCAAGGCACAGGGAAAGAACAGGUGUGGCCACAGCCCUAGGACAGCAACACAAAAACAGUAAAUAGAAUAGUUCACUAAUAAAUGAAUUUGCCACCUAUUCAACUCACUUCUAGACAUUUUGAACUUGUGGCAUGUACCCUCCCUUCUACAACAUGCCAGCACCAAGCCCCCCCCUUGGGUGUCAAACACUAGAAGCAACGAAAGAAUUUAUUUGCAACUGUUUGAACUGCACUGAUCUUCAUCAGGCUGAAAGCAGUCCAACCUUUCUCCCCUCUUUUCUCCAGUUUCCAAAAUAAUGACAAGCCAACUUCACUACAUCAAAGUGACUCACCACACAUAGCUCUUCCAUGUUACUAAAGCAUACCCAGGCCAAAAAUGUAUAGAACCAAAGUUAUCGUGCCCAAAAGUUGAGCAAAAUUUCACUGAACCAAAAGUUCAGUUAUCUGAAUCAAGCUCAAGUUUCACAGCCCGACAGGGUACUUUUGAGGACAUUUUACUCUCUAUUUUGUGUAGAACUAAACCUUACACACCACAGCAAUUUUGUUCUCCUUCAUAUGGUCUACCAACUUCCUAUAAACAUUUUAGUCCAAAACAUUAUGGAUCUGUCAUAAUAAAGUUCCAAAGUUGAGAUAAACUCACAAUUUCAGCCUCUGGUUUUUCACUCUGGAAUUCCAGAUCAAACAUAGGAUCUUUGGACCACUUUUGCUACCAGUUCCAAAUGUCUUUAGGGGUAGGGUUUUUAAUCAAAGUUGUACACCAGUAUGUGGUCUACCACUUUGGUGCAGCACUCUUGGUCCAUAACUAUAUGUAUCAGCCACUAAUAGGCUUCCAAAAUUGCUUCAGGUUGUAAAAACUGCAAAACUGAAUUUUUCCGAGCCUGAGAUUUCAGAACUUAACAUUCCAUCUUUGAGCAAAAUUUUCAACUAGUUCCAUAUGGUUUUAGGGCUAAGUGAUUUAAUCAAGUUUGUACACUUAUGUUAGCUCUACAACUUUGUUAAAAUGGCCAUCUUCAAACUGACCAUAGAUCAAAAGUUACUAAGGCCCAAAGAUAGCUAAUUGCUAAUAUUUUUCAGAAAUCAAAACCCUAAUUCAAAACUUAGUUUUAAGUUUUACUCUAUUUUUUUCUAUAAAAUUUGAAAAACCUCCACACAUAAAAGUUGUUGGGCUUGGAAAACUCUAUAACUUUGGUAUUUUGACUUUUGGCAAAACAUUGCCAGAUCAUAAGUUUUACUUUUGGGGUCAAAACUGGAGCUUUUCAAAACGGGGUUUUCUAUUCUCUGCUAAACACAACAUUACACUUAGAGUUUCUUGUUCCUAGUGAAUGCAUUCUAAGUAUAUUACAACACAAAGAUGUCAAUGCAUAUGAUGCCAUGCCAAAUUUUAGUUCUGGUAACACCAGGGGUGUUACAGCAGUCAAGAGGCCACAAAACCCCAAAACGCGCACUACCUGUCUCGGUCUCUCUAUAACACACGUCAUAGAACACGACUCUACACAAAUUUUGACAGUGAUUGAAAGAAGUUUAGGCAAAAUCAUGUUGUACCAGAAUACCAGCAUUUGAAGAGGACUCACUGGCGUCGAAGCGGUUGAAGAGGAAGGUGAUCGUCACGAGCAGCGAACAGAACACGAGCGCCGAGGCUGAUGGGGGAUGGGGUGGCGCCCUCGACUUGGACGUGUUCUUUAAUAGCAGUUGAUGUCAUCGAGGGCGCCGAGGAUGGUUCCCAUUCUCUGGCCGUCGAUGGAAGGUGGGAAUCGGCGAUGGAAGGUGGGAAUCGACGAUGGAUGGUGAUUGCGGUCUCGAUUUGGAUUUCCAUGUUCGAUGGAAUGGCACGGAUGGAGGAGAUUGCGUCCGCGUGGAUGGAGGAGAUUGGAGGCACGCGGAUUGCGAGCUGGGGGAUAACGAUGGUGGGGUUUGCGGCUGCGGUGCGGGAUGCGGGCGGGUGGAGGGGGAGGCUGGUGGAGCCGUCGGCGAGGCGGGGGGAGCGGGGGCAGCGGAGUCGGGGGCGUGGGGGAGCGGAGGGAACGACGCCGAAGCGUGGGCGCGGGGCGGGCCCAGAUGGCAGCGCGGGUGGUGAGACAGGGCUUAGCCGCGGUAUCGCGGGUGCCCACGUUACACGUUUAAUUAGUAGUAGGGAUGUAGUAGUAUGACCUGAUUCAUGACGGCUUGCAGCUUUCCCAUCCUCAAUAGAUGCGUACAAAAUUUAGUUUGAAUAUCUACUUGUUAACACGAAUUUGCGACAAAGGGGCCAGUAGACUGUAAAAUACAUUUUACAUUAGAUUCUUCGAGUAUACAAGAAACAAGAAGCAGACCAUGUCCUAAAUCAUACUCCCUCCGUCCCAAAAUAGUAUUCGUUUUAGCUCUAGAUUUUUAUGUCUAUAUUCAACUAGAUGGUGAUGAAUCUAGACACAUAUAUAGAGCACAUACAUAAAGUAUUGUAUGAACCUAUUAAUUAUUUAAAACGAAUUUUAAUUUGUGACGAAGGGAGUAGUAAACAAAUGACAACUCUUGUUUAAGUUCUGCAAGACUAGCCUCAGUGACUUGUGAAUAAUGACACAACUCACAAUUCCAAGCCCGACCAGGGUUUCAAUGGACCAUCCAGGGUUUCAACGGCUCUCUCGGAUUCUUCAACGGUCGGCUGUCGUGAUGCAGCCACAUUCAGUAUGUGAACACAGAGGCUGAUUUUUUCUUCACAUGACAGAUAUACCUAGAAUAGUUGGCAAAGCACAUUCACAACAACAAAAUUCUAAAAAGAUAUCCAUCUGGUGACAUCUAACUUGUCCUGAGAAGCAUUUUCAUUCAAUAUAAUUCCCAAGUGUCCACUACCCAUGUUCUCAAGAUGUAACAAACAGAAAAUAUCAUAGCACUCCAUCAUUUGUCACUCCCAAACUUGCAAAGUGAAAAACAUUAGGUAUGCAAACUUACUAACCUGGUGCCGCGCCGCUGGGCUGGUCUCCGCCAUUUGUGCGGCUGGGGCUUGUCCCAGUGCAAACUUACUGAACAGUAGGUAUGCAAAGUUACUCGACCAUUUGUGUGGCUCGGGCUGGUAAAGAAUAGGAACUGAAAUAAAUUGUAGUGAUGUAAGAGAAUGGUCACCGAACAAACUAAAAACAUGCCUUGUGUUUAACUUAAGGAAGUAGUUGUUCUGCAAAAUACUGAAUGAGUUAAAUUGCAUAAACAAAAUAGUAGAUAGUGUUGCUAGAUCCAACUAAAAUAAGGUAUUUUAACUUGUGCAUUUGGUACUGGUGUGCUAGUGUAAACAACCAAAUUUCUGAGGACUUCGUAGCUCAACAUAGAAAAUGUACUUCAACCUAUUCCACCUACUUUGGACUGUGCAAAUCAGAGGAUAUAAAGGUAUUACUGCAUAAAUCUUUGAUCCAAGAGACCCAAUAUCUGAUCUAUUUGCAAGAAACCAUUUAAACGUAUUUAAGUGCAAACUGAAUUAACAAGGAAGAAAAUAUAGACCUCAAAUGUUGUCCUGGAAAUUGUGAGGGUGUAUGAUUCCCAGAUCCAGCUCCAUUCGCAACAGAUUAGUUCCCCAUAAGUAAGAAAUAUAAAACAAGAGAAGCCAUAAAUCCAUCAAAACGCUAGCUAUCAGGUUGACUUCAAACGACGACAAGGCAAAGGAUAC